CGGACGGGACGACCCGUACAUCAAACAGCCCGGACGGGACGACCCGU
rnacentral:ncRNA from 1 species